GGGAUUGUGGCUCAGUGGUAGAGCACUUGCCUUGCACGCAGGAGACACUGGGUUCAAUACCCAGCACCA
rnacentral:tRNA from 1 species